rnacentral:rRNA from 2 species
GGGUUGUGAGGUUAAGCGACUAAGCGUACACGGUGGAUGCCCUGGCAGUCAGAGGCGAUGAAGGACGUGCUAAUCUGCGAUAAGCGCCGGUAAGGUGAUAUGAACCGUUAUAACCGGCGAUUUCCGAAUGGGGAAACCCAGUGUGACUCGUCACACUAUCAUUAACUGAAUCCAUAGGUUAAUGAGGCGAACCGGGGGAACUGAAACAUCUAAGUACCCCGAGGAAAAGAAAUCAACCGAGAUUCCCCCAGUAGCGGCGAGCGAACGGGGAGGAGCCCAGAGCCUGAAUCAGCAUGUGUGUUAGUGGAAGCGUCUGGAAAGGCGCGCGAUACAGGGUGACAGCCCCGUACACAAAAGCGCAUGUGCUGUGAGCUCGAUGAGUAGGGCGGGACACGUGGUAUCCUGUCUGAAUAUGGGGGGACCAUCCUCCAAGGCUAAAUACUCCUGACUGACCGAUAGUGAACCAGUACCGUGAGGGAAAGGCGAAAAGAACCCCGGCGAGGGGAGUGAAAAAGAACCUGAAACCGUGUACGUACAAGCAGUGGGAGCACCCUUUGGGGUGUGACUGCGUACCUUUUGUAUAAUGGGUCAGCGACUUAUAUUCUGUAGCAAGGUUAACCGAAUAGGGGAGCCGGAGGGAAACCGAGUCUUAAUUGGGCGUUAAGUUG